rnacentral:rRNA from 1 species
CAACUGGGUAACCUGCCCAAGAGACUGGGAUAACACCUGGAAACAGAUGCUAAUACCGGAUAACAACACUAGACGCAUGUCUAGAGUUUAAAAGAUGGUUCUGCUAUCACUCUUGGAUGGACCUGCGGUGCAUUAGCUAGUUGGUAAGGUAACGGCUUACCAAGGCAAUGAUGCAUAGCCGAGUUGAGAGACUGAUCGGCCACAUUGGGACUGAGACACGGCCCAAACUCCUACGGAAGGCAGCAG